AUGCCAAUUACAUUUUGUAGACCCUUUUUAAGGAAACUGCUUCAUUUACACCAUCCCAUUGGCAUGUCUAUUAGCAGUAAUGAAACUCAAACGAACACUUCUAGGCUAGAUAUUAUUGAGGUGUUGUGUACGUUGGUCCUUUUUAUAGAUCUUGCCAUCUUUGUUUGCCAGGUGAUCAGUCAUUUAAAGUAUUUGAGAAACUUGAAGGGAAGCACAUGGCAAAGCCAUAAUUACCUUUUAGUUAUAUUUCAAGUUGUAGGAAAGUUGGAAUCAAUCUGGAAAGCAUCUUUCUAUUGCAGAUAUUUUAUUAGUGGCUUGAAGACUUACACUAUGUUUGAUGUUACAGAAAUAGUGAGGUUAUGCCACAAUGCUGAUAGACUUGGUACUUGUAGGAUGGAGAGGAGAAAACUGAAAAGGAUGUUCAUAUGA
rnacentral:rRNA from 1 species